rnacentral:pre_miRNA from 1 species
AAUCGAUAAAAGUAGUCYAUGAGAUUGUCCGCCGUCAAUUAUUUUGGUACGUUAAUGAAAAAUCUCCGUUAAAUUGAGGGUAUAUUUGUCAAAUCAACUCCUCCACUUYCACUGAUUUCYUCAAUUUAACGAAGAUUUUUCACAAAAAUGACCAAAAUGAUUGACGGUGGAUAAUCUCAGAGACUACUUCUAUUAAU